AUGAGGGUGGAGCCCCAGGGUGGAUUAGUGCCCUUAUAUGGAGAGGAAGGGACACCAGCACUUUCUUCUCCACCACGUGAGGACCCGGUGAGGAGUGAGAGGCCUCCCUGGAGCCCACCCUGCUGCCACCCAACCCCCAACUUCCAACUUCCAGGACGAGAUGAGCAAGACCUGAUUCCUGUCCCUAAGGAGAGGCUUCCGGGUGGACUGGACGUGAGUCAUCACCUGAAGUUUGAGAUGUUGGCUCUCAGACCCACCCGUUCUCUCCAGCCUCGGGGUCACGGCCAGCCAGCCUGCCUCUCACACUAGUGGGACCAGGGCAAGAAUUCGGGGCACAGGGGUCGCAGAACCCACGUUCGGAAACCCUCCAGUGAGAACCAGCUGCUGCUGCCCAGUGCACUCUGGGCUCCCGUCCAGCCCCCCACUCCGGCCGCAGACACAGGGAGCAUCGGGCCGGGGCGGCCUCACAGCCCAGGAUGGAUCCUAACCCACGCAGGGAGGACGUGCGCGGCAGGGAGCCCUCGGAGGCUGGCGGCUGCUCCCCAGGUGCGCCCUGUGCCUCUCGCCUGGGAGCUCCACCCGAGGGAGCCCGACGCCCUGUCCCCACAAAACGCGCGUCCCAAUAUUAACAGCAGCAGUGUUUCUAAUUUCCAAAAUGUGGAAUCAACCCAAAUGUCCAUGGACUGAUGGCGGCUGAGACGGCCGAAGCUCUCCACCCGCUGGAAUUCCGUCACCUGCAGCAGGGGCGAGGCCCCCACGAACCCCGGCGGACCCCCAGCCACGCGCUCGGCGAGGGAGCCACACACAGGAGGCCCCACGGGGUGGCAGGACGGCUCGUCCACGGAGAGGGGCUGGGCGCUGGGGACGGGAAGGGAUGGGGCUUCUUUUUGGGGAGAUGGAAUGUUCUAAUGUGGAUGGUGGUGGAUGCCGAGUGCUGUGAAUAUUUUUUUAAAAAUCACUGAACUGUGCACUUUUGGGCGAGAAUUGUAUGCUAUGUGACUUUGUGACUUGUAUCUCAAUAAAGUUGUUGGGGAAUCCCAGCUGCAGUCCUGGGACACCCUCCCCUUGGUGGAUCUGAUUGCCGCCUCCCUCUCCACAUCUGGGCUGCGUCCGGGACUCGCCACUCGUGGGGACCCCCUGCCCACCGCAGGACCAGAUCCCACGUAAGACGUCCCGCUGCGCUGCAGCCGUGGGGACGUGGGACCCCACGGACCGGGAGAGGGGGUGGCUCAGGCCCCAGCCUGGCCCGCCCGCGAGCUGGACGCCACCCAGGGACCCCAUCGACCCGCCUGGGACAGAGGACCUCCCCUCUGAGCCCCACUCCCGACUCCCGGAACUGUGAGACGUAAGCCAGUCUGUAGCUGUUACCCCGAGACAGACCCGGACCCACGUCUCGGAAGCUCCCGGGAAGCCUGAAG
rnacentral:lncRNA from 1 species